AAACAACUGGAAACUCGGAACUGGGAAAUCUGAUUUUAGUGAGUUCAAGACAACUGGGAACUCGGGGGGGAAAAAACGAGCUCCGACUGGGAAAAUACGUUUUGAACGAUCUUUCUAGAACCGCGACCUUAAGAACACUGACGUAAUCAUUAAUCAACCUUGUUUUUUUCCGAGUUCCCAGUUGUUUUGAAAGCGCCAUAAAUCCAGAGAAUGCCAGACUGAUGACAAAAUUUGCCCAGGAAGGACUGCCGUGCCACCGUCCUGUUCAAGUGAGCACAGCACAACAAGGACAAUGACCCAACACACCUCCAGGCUGUGUAAUGCCCCAUGUACCCAAGGCUGGAGACUUUCUUCAGCAAAGAUGGCUGACAAAAAUACUAGGAUGGAAGCAAAUCUAAGUGAAUUUAACGUCAUAACGAAUCAUGCAAGAAAUGUAUCGUUGAAAGGAAUGUUAGUUAAUGUACAGAUAAACGAUUAUGCAUUUUUAUCAAAGUUAAUUUACGAAAAUUGUGAUUUAGCAAGCUAGCUGACUAGCUAACAUUAGCCAGCUUGCUGGCUAGCUUUAUGGGUGUUGUGACAUGAGUAUGAAAUUGUCAUUCUGGUUGUUUAAUGUUUCAGGGACUCCUGAAACAACCAGCAAACCAGGCUGUUGUCUUGUAAAACAGUGGAUGUAAAUAAUCUAGCUAGC
rnacentral:lncRNA from 1 species